GUCUCUGUGGCGCAAUCGGUUAGCGCGUUCGGCUGUUAACCGGAAAGUUGGUGGUUCGAGCCCACCCAGGGACG
rnacentral:tRNA from 3 species